rnacentral:lncRNA from 1 species
ACAUAUUGUCGAGCCAUAGCAGCCACAUUUUCCUGUAAGUGAUUCUCAAAGGUGAACUGGAAAGCAAUGGUCAGGACUGACCGAAGGUUAUAGUUGCUCAAAUCAGUUUCACCAGCAGAACGUGCAGCAUUGGCACCAACUUCAAGGGUAGAGGCUAAAUCCAAUGUUCUAGCAGCAGUAGGUUCAUCCUGCAGGAAAAAAAAGUUACUUUACACUUCUUCUAAAUAUAGGUAUCCACAAAAAAAAAAAGUGUAUGCUGAAGACAGCAAUUUUAUGCAAAGACGGACCGUUUUUGGAUCCAGCGGUAUGACACGGAACCCCGAAGGAAGUAGUGGAGCAUCAUCAGCAAAAGAUUCAUCUAUAGGU